AUGAAUAUGUCACAAGUGGUAAUGGUAGUGGUGGUAAUGGUGGUAUUAGUAGUGGUGGUAAUGGUGGUAUUNNNNNNNNNNGGUGGUAUUAGUAGUGGUGGUAAUGGUGGUAUUAGUAGUGGUGGUAACAAUAGUUUGACAUUUUCAAAUAAGAAAAUAUUAUUACAAGAGCUAGAACAAAUAAAAAAAAACUAUGAUGAUGAAGAGUUAUACAAAUAUAUUAAAGAAACAAAUGUAUUGGAAAAAUAUAAAACAUUUUAUCAUUGUCACUUUGUGAAUAUUAAUAACAUUUUUAAUACAGUAAUCAGUACGAUUAUAUAUAAUGUAGAAGAUAAAUACAAAACUUUAUAUGAACGGUAUUUUAAUUUGUUUAAUUUAAAUUUUAGUAAUGUUGAAGCUUCUUUUGAUUUGUUAUUGAAAAGGUUUCAUCAAUUGUGUCGUUUAUUGCAAGCAUAUGAACACAUGAUAAAAGGAUAUGAACAGAAUAUAUCCAAUUUGAAUAAUAACGAUGAUGAAUUAUAUAAACAAAACAAAAAACUUAAAUAUGAUUUUGAAUUAAUUCGUAAAGAAAAAGAUCAUUUAAAAGAGGUAUUAUUAAUGUUUGAAACAAAUGUAAAAAAAAUUAAUGGAAAUUAUGCACAAGCAGAAAAAGAACUAAACGAAUUAAAAAACAAAUUUGUACAUAUAAAUGACAAAUAUGAGCAUUUAAAAAAUGAAAAAAAUAUUUUAGAACAAGAUAUAAUUAAAAAAGAAAAAAAUAAUGAACAAUUGAAUGAAAAAAAUAAUGAUAUGUUAAUGAGUUACCAAAAAGAUAUUACAUAUUUACAAACAUUAUUACAAGAAACAAAAGAUAGUAAUAUAUAUUUUAAACAAAAAGUAGAACACAUUUUAAAUCUUAAUGAAAAAUUAAAAUAUGAUUAUGACUUACGAGUGAAUAGUCUUAAUAAUUUAUGGAUGGAAGAAAAAGAAAAUAAUAAAAAAACGAGUUUAGAUAUAAAAAAUAUGAAAGAAGAAAAAACAUUACUUAUUAAUAAAAUUAAUGAUUUAGAAAAUAAAAAUAAAUUAAUUCGAGCUGAAUUAAACGAAAGAAUGAAACAGUUGAAUAUGUUUAAAAGACAAAUGGCAUUGAAUUCUACUAAUGCUUAUAUUCCAGGUAACGUUUUUUUUGGUGCUAAUGUUGUUCAUGACCAUACCAACAUUAACAAUGAUAUAAGAAGUAGUCCCAGCACUAAUCCUACUGACAUAAAUACCGAUAUUAGGAGCAACGCCGGUAGCAAUUCUGACAUGAAUACCGACAUAAAACAUAACAAUAGUAAUAAACAAACGUCUUUCCUACAAAAACAGUUAUUACUAUUGAAUAAUAACAUAGGAGUUGGUAACAUAAAGGAAGGUACACAAGUGAUAAAUACCUCAACACAUCAUAACAAUAAAAAUGAACCAGGAAAUAUAGUCAAUUAUAAUCCUAUCGAACUUCCCAAACUGACUCAGCAAUAUUUGUUACCAUACGACAACAAAAUGAAUUAUUUUUUAAAUUACGAUGAAGAACAUAAUAAUCGAACAGAAUACGAAUUACGUAUACGAACAUUACAAGAUACUUUAUCAGAUUGUAGAAUUGAUAUUUUAAAGUUGAAAGGAGAAAAAGACAUUUUAAUAACUUCUGUUGAAACAUGGAAAAGUUUUAGUAAAGAUAGUAAACUUCAAAUUAAUAAAUUAAAAAAAUUAUGUAAUGAACAACUAGAAAAACAUAAAGAAUUUUUAUUAAUUAAUAAAUCAAAUGAGGAAAAAUUAAAUUAUAUAACAAAUCUAUUAAGUUCUGAAAAGAAUAAAUAUGAAAGAAUUGUAAGUGAGAUUAAAGAAAAGUUAAAUGCUGAAUUAGAACAUGUAAAAGAAGAAUUAAAAGAAAAAACACAUGAAUUAAAAUCAUUAACAUAUGAAAAAACUAAUUUAGCAAAUCAAGUUAUAAAUUUUGAAAAUAGAAAAAAAGGUGAAUUAGUUAUAAAACAAAAAGAAGAACAACUUUUAACACUAAUUAAAAAUGAUAAACAAAAUUUACAAGAACAGUUAAUUCAAUUAUCUGAAAAAUAUAAUAAAGAAGUAGAAAAAAAUAAAAAAUUAGAAAAUGAUAUAGAGUUAUUAAUAAAUAAUCAUAAAAAAGAGAUAAUAACAUUAAAUGAACAUAUUGAUACUAUUAAAAAAGAUAAUAAUAAUAUGAACGAAUUAUUACAAAAACAUAUUAACAUUAAUGAUAAUAAUUUAUUAAAAGAAAGAUUAGAACAGUUGAAUAAGGUGAAACGGAAAAUGGAAGAUGAAAUACAAUCUAAUAAGGAAAUGCUUGAACAAUUACGUGUUGAAAAUAGUGAACUAAAAAAGAGACUAAUUUUGGAAAAUGAAAAAAAAAUAAUGGAUCAUAUACAACAACAGGAUAGUAGUAUGUCGUCUUCUGAUGGUCCUAUUACAGAUUGUCUAACAUCAAGUACAUAUAUGAGUGAACAAUUUGUUGAUAAUUUACAAACCCAACUUAAAUCAUCUCGUCAACAAUUGAAUAAUUUAUCAGAUGAAUUAGAUCGAGCAAAAUUAGAUGAAGAAAAAUAUAAAUCAAAAAUUGAAAGUUUAAAAGAAAAAUUAGUUAAAGAAGAAACUGAAAAAAAGAAAAUAGAAGAAAAUAUAUUUCACAAUAAUACAAAUAAUAUAAUACAAAUGAAUAAAAUAAAAGUAGAAUUAGAGAUGUUAUUAGAUGAAAAAAGAACAUUUUUACUUAUAAAAGAUAAAUAUGAAAAAGAAAUAGAACAAUUAAAAAAAAAUGUUGAUACUUAUAUGAAUGAAAAAAAAAAUGAUAUAGAUAUGAUUGAAAAGGAUAAAUUAAAAGAACAGAUAGAUGCUCAUUUAAAUAGAAUUAAGGAAGAAGAAAAAGAAAAAAUUACAUUAAAUUUUAAAAUUAAAAAAUUAGAAAAUGAGAAUGCAGAGUUAAAAAAUAGGAUUAGUAUGUACAUAGAAACGGACGUUGUAUAUGCAAAUAGGGAUGUAAUUGAGGGUAAUAAUAUGUACGAUAAUGAGGGCAAUAAUAAUGGCAAUACUGAGUUUAAUAAUAAUGGCAAUACUGAGGAUAAUAAUAAGGACAAUAAUGACAACGUUUUAAAUGGUACUGAUAAUGUAGAAGAGAGAGAGAGUAUAAUAAACUCUGUUCCAUCUGAUAGAAAUAAUAAAACUGAAAUUUCAUCUAACGAAAUAUAUAAAUAUAUAAAUGAAAAUAUAGAUUUAACUGCUGAGUUGGAAAAUAAAAAUGAUUAUAUUGAUAAAUGUAAAGAAGAAAUAAAACAAAAAAGUGAUCAUAUCACUGAAUUAUGUAAUAGUAUAUCUACCUUAACAAGUGAAAAUAAAACAUUAAAACAAUCUUUAAAUGUAUUGGAAACAUAUAAAUUAAAAAUGCAUGAACAUAUAAAAGAAAAAGAUGAAAUAAUACAGUAUUUAAAAAAUAUAUUUUUUGAAAAAAUAGAUGGUAUUUUAAAUUAUUAUUCAACAAAUACACGAAUAAGUGCUAUGGAUGAAACAGUAUGCUCAGAUCUUCAAAAUGUCAUGAAGGUACCUUCUGAUGAAAUUAUAUCUUUGUUGCGAACUAUGACACGUGCAAGUGUAUUGGGAGAUGAUAAUGUCCUUACUGCUACAGGUGGUAUUACAUCAUGCAAUGAUGAUAAUACAGGUUCCUGUACAAAUGAGGUAACUAAUAAUUUUUUAAAUAAUAACAAAGAACAUAUUUCUAUAAUAAAAUGUAAUUUAUUAAAAUUGUUUAAAUUGGGAUCAUGUUAUUUAUACAUUAUAAACAGAAAUAUGAAAGAAAUAAAAACUUUGAAAAAUAAAAUAACUUGUCUUGAAAGCAGUAUUGAAAGUUUAACAGAACAUAUUGAAAAUUUGAAAAAAGAAAAUGCACAAAAUGAAUUAAUAUAUAAUGAAAGUAUUGAACAAAUUCAACAAUUAAAAGAAAAUUUAAAAACUAAUGAACAAUAUAUUGAAGAAUUAAAUACAAAUAUAUCACAAAAUAAAGAAAUAAAUAAAAUAAAUUUGAAUAAUAUAAAAACGUAUAAAGAUUUUAUUGUUUAUUUAAUUUUAAAAAAUAAAAUAUUUCUUAUAAUUAUGUAUAUGUUUAAUAGGAAACAAAAAAUGGAACAAACAGUAGUUACUUCUUUAUACCAAAUCCAACAAACACAUGAUGUUUAUUUAUAUCAUGCGAUUGUUGCAGAAUUAAAAAAUGAAUAUCCACAUAUUCAUUUAGAUUAUGACAUGUCAGAAAAUAAUUAUAAAAAUAUUCAAAUGUUUAGUCGAAAAUUGGAUUGGUUGAAUGAGAGGGGGGGAGAAGAGUUAAAUAUGACGGUAGGUCCUGAGUUGGGACAACAGCAGGAACAAAACUUGGAACAAUCCCAUCAAGUAACAAAUGUACACAGUAUGGAUGUACACAGUAUGGAUAUACACAGUAUGGAU
rnacentral:lncRNA from 1 species